rnacentral:tRNA from 1 species
GGGAAGGUGGCUCAGUGGUAGAGCACUUGCCUUGCAUGUGUGAGGCCCUGGGUUCGAUUC